AUGGCGAUUCUGACGUUUCUGUCUCCAUUCUUCACCUUUCGAUCGUUACAAAUCAAAUUAAUAGACCCCCAUGAACCGAAACUUAAAUCUUCAUCGCCACUACACCCACGAUCUUCCAUUAAAUGAUUAUUGUUCUUCGUCCAGUCGGUGAUUCUCAGCUAUAAAAAGUAUAAUGGCUGCCUCAACUAUCUUGCUCUCCUAUUUGAAGGCUCGACGGUGCUCUUCCACGGUGGAGGUGCGGCUUCUGAGACUCUAGGAAGCAAGAAACGCUAAACUUGGUGGAAAGUUGAUAAGGCGACUCUCAUACAUGCCACCGUGAAUGUCCACCAUCUGACCACUUUCAGACAUCGCCUCACGGCGGGUUCCAUGUUCUCCGUCAGCAGAUUUGAUGUGACUGAGUGCAACCAGAACUUCAUGCUGUCAGACUCUCCUCUGGCAAUCCGAUUCAGUGAUUCCACCGCUAUGGAUGAGAUGACUGAGCCGGUGAACCCCAUUCCUGAAGAACGGUUCAGGUUCUGCAAUCACAGUGAGUUGCUUGGUCUAGCCAACACCAACACCCACCUUCCAGUACGUCUAUGUGACACUUAGUUUGUUUGACUCACAAUCUGUUGCGUUUCGCAACAAAAUAGAACGUAAGGUAAGGUUGUAGUUCGUAAGGUAAGGUUGUAGUUGCAACCAGUAUAAACCCGAAGAUUGUAGGAGGUGUUUAUGUUCCGCCUAGCACUAGAAUUUUCUUUCUCAUUAUAAUGGCUUACUCCUCUGUUCUACUUGCUGAUUUUAACAGAUAUAGAUGUAUCACUUGGAAAGAUAGUUUCUUCCCUGAAACCAAAGCUUAUCACCUCUACUUUUUUGCAGGAGUGGUUUCCAGAGGCUGAUAAGCUUGAGGAACUCAAAGUAUGUAUUGGCGUUGUUUUCUCGGCUUUUAGUUUAAGUUUAUUUUGUGCGGAAGAGUAUUUGUUGCUUUGAUCAUCUCCUUGCAUUUUCAUGUAACUAAGUUUGUAACUCUCAGGAGCAUCUUUGCGAUUUGUUUUUUUAUGGAUUGUACCGUUACAUAA